rnacentral:rRNA from 1 species
AUCAACGCUGGCGGCGUGCCUAACACAUGCAAGUCGAACGCGAAAGCCCCGCAAGGGGUAAGUAGAGUGGCAAACGGGUGAGUAACACGUAGGUGACCUGCCUCAGAGUGGGGGAUAACGACCCGAAAGGGUCGCUAAUACCGCAUAACAUCCUGCCUUUGGAAAGGUGGAGAUCAAAGCCGGGGAUCGCAAGACCUGGCGCUCAGAGAGGGGCCUGCGGCCGAUUAGCUAGUUGGUAGGGUAACGGCCUACCAAGGCAACGAUCGGUAUCCGGCCUGAGAGGGCGGACGGACACACUGGGACUGAGACACGGCCCAGACUCCUACGGGAGGCAGCAGUGGGGAAUUGUUCGCAAUGGGCGCAAGCCUGACGACGCAACGCCGCGUGGAGGAUGAAGAUCUUCGGGUCGUAAACUCCUUUCGAUCGGGAAGAACGCCUUCGGUGUGAACAACACCGAGGGGUGACGGUACCCGCGAGAAGAAGCUCCGGCUAACUUCUGUGCCAGCAGCCGCGGUAAUACGAAGGGGGGCUAAGCUGUUGUUCGGAAUUACUGGGCGUAAAGCGUGCGCAGGCGGCAAUUCUCAAGUCAGAGGUGAAAUCCCCAAGCUCAACUCUGGGAAUUGCCGUUGGAUACUGAGUGGCUUGAAUUACGAGAGAGGUGAGUGGAAUUCCCAGGUGUAGAGGUGAAAUGCGUAGAUAUCUGGGAGAACUACCGGUGGCGAAGGCGGCUCACUGGCUCGUAACUUGACGCUCAUGCACGGCGAAAGCUAGGGGGAGCAAACAGGAUUAGAUACCCUGGUAGUCCUACGCCGUAAACGAUGAACUGCUAGCCGUGUGGGGGUAUCUUGCUCAUGCCGUGCCGCAGCUAACGCAUUAAGCAUUCCGCCUGGGGAGUACGGUCGCAAGGUUGAAACUCAAAGGAAUUGACGGGGGCCCGCACAAGCGGUGGAGCAUGUGGUUUAAUUCGACGCAACGCGCAGAACCUUACCAGGGUUUGACAGCAUUGGACAUCCGGUGAAAGCCGGUUCCCGCAAGGGGCCAGAUGACGAGGUGCUGCAUGGCUGUCGUCAGCUCGUGUCGUGAGAUGUUGGGUUAAGUCCCGCAACGAGCGCAACCCUGUCCGCUUAGUUGCCAUCAGUUCAUGUUGGGCACUCUAGAGGAGACCUGCCGGCUGCUAACCGGAGGAAGGUGGGGAUGACGUCAAGUCCGCAUGGCCCUUAGCUACCUGGGCUACACACGUGCUACAAUGGCGGUAAACAGUGGCAGCUACUCGCAAGAGGCAGCUAAUCCGAAGAAAGCCGGCCUCAGUUCAGGAUUGCAGGCUGCAACUCGACUGCAUGAAGUUGGAAUCGCUAGUAAUCGCAGAAUCAGCACGCUGCGGUGAAUACGUUCCCGGGCCUUGUACACACCGCCCGUCACAUCAUGGAAGUUGGUAUUACCUAGAAGCACGUGCGCUAACCGCAAGGGAGGCAAGCCUGCCUACGGUAUGGAUCAGCGACUGGGGUG